AGUGAACGCUGGCGGUAGGCCUAACACAUGCAAGUCGAACGGCAGCACAGGAGAGCUUGCUCUCUGGGUGGCGAGUGGCGGACGGGUGAGGAAUACAUCGGAAUCUACUUUUUCGUGGGGGAUAACGUAGGGAAACUUACGCUAAUACCGCAUACGACCUACGGGUGAAAGCAGGGGAUCUUCGGACCUUGCGCGAUUGAAUGAGCCGAUGUCGGAUUAGCUAGUUGGCGGGGUAAAGGCCCACAAAGGCGACGAUCCGUAGCUGGUCUGAGAGGAUGAUCAGCCACACUGGAACUGAGACGCGGUCCAGACUCCUACGGGAGGCAGCAGUGGGGAAUAUUGGGCAAUGGGCGCAAGCCUGAUCCAGCCAUACCGCGUGGGUGAAGAAGGCCUUCGGGUUGUAAAGCCCUUUUGUUGGGAAAGAAAUCCAGCUGGCUAAUACCCGGUUGGGAUGACGGUACCCAAAGAAUAAGCACCGGCUAACUUCGUGCCAGCCGCCGCCGUAA
rnacentral:rRNA from 1 species